AAAAAAGUGGAAGUAGGUGCUUUGGAGUCCUUUAAAGAAGGGUUUUUCAACGUUCUGUUCGCUGCCUUCUUCC
rnacentral:tRNA from 1 species